AGUCCUGUGGUGUACCACACGUUAGAUUGCAAAUCUGAAGAAGUAAACUAAAGUUUACCGGGGCUU